GACGAACGCUGGCGGCGCACAUAAGACAUGCAAGUCGAACGGACUUAACCGAAAUGUUUACAUUUUGGAGCGGUUAGUGGCGGACUGGUGAGUAACACGUGAGCAACCUGCCUGUUAGAGGGGAAUAACAGUGAGAAAUCAUUGCUAAUACCGCAUAUGCCAUAAUCACCACAUGGUGAUAGUGGGAAAGGAGCAAUCCACUAACAGAUGGGCUUGCGUCUGAUUAGAUAGUUGGUGGGGUAACGGCCUACCAAGUCGACGAUCAGUAGCCGAACUGAGAGGUUGAACGGCCACAUUGGGACUGAGAUACGGCCCAGACUCCUACGGGAGGCAGCAGUCGGGAAUAUUGCACAAUGGAGGAAACUCUGAUGCAGUGACGCCGCGUGCAGGAAGAAGGUUUUCGGAUUGUAAACUGCUUUAGACAGGGAAGAUAAAAAGACUGUACCUGUAGAAUAAGCUCCGGCUAACUACGUGCCAGCAGCCG
rnacentral:rRNA from 1 species